AUAAAUAUGUUUCUAUAUGUUCUUCUCUAGGUGAUAGAUGUUCAAUUGUUAAAUUAUGUUGUGGUGAAGUCUCAGUUGAAUAGGUAGUAGAUGGAGAAAGUAUAAGUUGAUCUUGAGGAACUAGAACUUUCUGGAAAAUUUCGGUUCUUUCAGAUGAUAGAAUUCGAGUCCCUUCGUGGUCCAAAAAAGUGAUUUGCUUCCUGUUGCUGAGUUUCUCCAGCAAAAUCUCGUGAUCGACAGAGUCGAAAGCUCUCGAAAAGUCCACGAAGAGCCCCGCAGGUACUCGACCUUCCUCAAGAAGAAAAGUUAUCUUUCGUAUGAAU